CCUACGGGAGGCAGCAGUGAGGAAUAUUGGUCAAUGGGCUUACGCCUGAACCAGCCAAGUCGCGUGAGGGAAGACUGCCCUAUGGGUUGUAAACCUCUUUUGUCAGGGAGCAACGCCGGCUACGUGUAGCCGUACUGAGAGUACCUGAAGAAAAAGCAUCGGCUAACUCCGUGCCAGCAGACGCGGUAAUACGGAGGAGGCGAGCGUUAUCCGGAUUUAUUGGGUUUAAAGGGUGCGUAGGCGGAAUGCCAAGUCAGAGGUAAAGUCGCGGGGCUCAACCUCGCUCCGCCGUUGAAACUGGCGUUCUUGAGUGGGCGAGAAGUAUGCGGAAUGCGUGGUGUAGCGGUGAAAUGCAGAGAUAUCACGCAGAACUCCGAUUGCGAAGGCAGCAUACCGGCGCCCAACUGACGCUGAAGCACGAAAGCGUGGGUAUCGAACAGGAUUAGAUACCCUAGUAGUC
rnacentral:rRNA from 1 species